rnacentral:rRNA from 1 species
CCUACGGGGGGCAGCAGUGAGGAAUAUUGGUCAAUGGACGAGAGUCUGAACCAGCCAAGUAGCGUGAAGGAUGACUGCCUUAUGGGUUGUAAACUUCUUUUAUAUGGGAAUAAAAUGUUCCACGUGUGGGAUUUUGUAUGUACCAUAUGAAUAAGGAUCGGCUAACUCCGUGCCAGCAGCCGCGGUAAUACGGAGGAUCCGAGCGUUAUCCGGAAUUAUUGGGUUUAAAGGGAGCGUAGGUGGAUUGUUAAGUCAGUUGUGAAAGUUUGCGGCGCAACCGUAAAAUUGCAGUUGAAACUGGCAGUCUUGAGUAUAGUAGAGGUAGGCGGAAUUCGUGGUGUAGCGGUGAAAUGCUUAGAUAUCACGAAGAACUCCGAUGGCGAAGGCAGUUCACUGGACUGCAACUGACACUGAGGCUCGAAAGUGUGGGUAUCAAACAGGAUUAGAUACCCUUGUAGUC